rnacentral:rRNA from 1 species
UACGUAGGGUGCGAGCGUUGUCCGGAAUUAUUGGGCGUAAAGGGCUCGUAGGCGGUUUGUCGCGUCGGGAGUGAAAUCAUCUGGCUUAACUGGGUGCUUGCUUUCGAUACGGGCAGACUAGAGGUAUGCAGGGGAGAACGGAAUUCCUGGUGUAGCGGUAAAAUGCGCAGAUAUCAGGAGGAACACCAGUGGCGAAGGCGGUUCUCUGGGCAUGAUCUGACGCUGAGGAGCGAAAGUGUGGGGAGCGAACAGG